rnacentral:ncRNA from 1 species
UGGCUUCUAGCGUAUAGUUAUCAGUUAAACGGGAAGUUGGUGCGCUGUAUAUAAAAAAUUGCUGCAAAUCCGACACUGCCCCCGCAACGGUAGAUAAGAAUAUCUGGUAGUGGUACCACUGCGCAAAUGGCGUGGGAAGGGUAUCAGGUAGGGUUUACUCCCACUUAUGAGUCCGGAGACCGGCCUUUUCGUC